rnacentral:rRNA from 1 species
AUACGGGGGGUGCAAGCGUUAAUCGGAAUUACUGGGCGUAAAGCGCGCGUAGGCGGUUUGUUCAGUCGGAUGUGAAAGCCCAGGGCUCAACCUUGGAACUGCAUUCGAUACUGGCAAACUAGAAUGUGCUAGAGGAUAGUGGAAUUUCCGGUGUAGCGGUGAAAUGCGUAGAGAUCGGAAGGAACAUCAGUGGCGAAGGCGGCUAUCUGGAUCAACAUUGACGCUGAGGUGCGAAAGCGUGGGUAGCAAACAGAAUUAGAUACCCCAGUAGUCC